GAUGAACGCUGGCGGCGUGCCUAAUACAUGCAAGUCGAGCGAACAGACGAGGAGCUUGCUCCUUUGACGUUAGCGGCGGACGGGCGAGUAACACGUGGGUAACCUACCUAUAAGACUGGGAUAACUUCGGGAAACCGGAGCUAAUACCGGAUAAUAUUUCGAACCGCAUGGUUCGAUAGUGAAAGAUGGCUUUGCUAUCACUUAUAGAUGGACCUGGGACGUAUUAGCUAGUUGGUAAGGUAACGGCUUACCAAGGCAACGAUACGUAGCCGACCUGAGAGGGUGAUCGGCCACACGGGAACUGAGACACGGUCCAGACUCCUACGGGAGGCAGCAGUGGGGAAUCUUCCGCAAUGGGCGAAAGCCUGACGGAGCAACGCCGCGUGAGUGAUGAAGGUCUUCGGAUCGUAAAACUCUGUUAUUAGGGAAGAACAAACGUGUAAGUAACUGUGCACGUCUUGACGGUACCUAAUCAGAAAGCAACGGCUAACUACGUG
rnacentral:rRNA from 1 species